ACUCCAUUCCGAACUCAGAAGUGAAACGAAAUAGCGCCGAUGGUAGUGUGGGGUUUCCCCAUGUGAGAGUAGGACAUCGCCAGGUU
rnacentral:rRNA from 1 species